GUGUAUACCAUGAAAUAACACUGGAGAUUUGACAGACUGGAAGACGUAAGAUAACCUCUCUUACCUGUCUGGCCACACUGCUGGCUUUUGGCUGGGAAACUUUGCCUUUUCCCUACAUGACCUUACAUCUUCUAGUCGCUGAAGUCAUUUUCCUUUCAUGGCUGUCUCAGAGGAGUGUUCUAAGAAAAUAAAAUCAGAAGGUGUAAGAAAGUUUAAAAUUUUCCGUGUGACUCAUGAUUGGUUCCACUGGACAGCGCUGCCAUAGAACCUUGGUAUUCCUCAGGUGAAACACAGGGCCCAGACUGAACACUGCACCUGUCGCAUGGUCAUCAGAAG
rnacentral:lncRNA from 1 species